CGUAAUUUGUAUAAAGGUAAUACUAAGAUUAUAUAUGUUUGUUUUUGUUCUUACACAUGCAUUUCUCUAUCUAUACACUCAACAGGGUUACCAUGGAAACUUACCUCUUCAUCAAGGCAAUGGUAUAAACUAAUGACCGACGUUCUAGUCCCUGGCAAAGAGAGAAAUCCAGAUGUCGAUCAAGCGCUACAGGCUUAGCUUUAAAUAAUCUAAGCCUUGCUAAGACCUGAAAAUGAAUAUCAGGCAAAACUGAAACAAAAACAAAAUAACUGGAUGCACUUAGAGAGCACCUAAUCUAUCUUGUAUAUUUUCACAUCGUAAUACUGUAUGUUCAGUGUUGUUUUGUCAGGGAUUUGUUUACAGUGGCUGCUUGGUUGUUUUUGUUGUGGUGUUUGUUGUGGUGUUUUUGUGUUUAUGGAGGUGUCUGUUGUGGUUUCAGUGUGGUCUUCUCGGUUUUAUUCUUGAUGGUUGUAUUGUUUUGUUGAAAACGGGUAUUUGGUGCGUUUUGUUUGUUGUAUUGGGUUGUUCGUCAUGGUGUUUUUCUUUCUGCCAUUACCAAUGAAUAUUAUUAUUACUCGCUUUGUAUACUGUAGAAAAUUAUUAGAAUAAGUAUUAUUACUCGCUUUGUAUACUGUAGAAAAUUAUUAGAAUAAGUAUUAUUACUCGCUUUGUAUACUGUAGAAAAUUAUUAGAAUAAGUAUUAUUACUCGCUUUGUAUACUGUAGAAAAUUACUCGCUUUGUAUACUGUAGAAAAUUAUUAGAAUAAGUAUUAUUACUCGCUUUGUAUACUGUAGAAAAUUAUUAGAAUAAGUAUUAUUACUCGCUUUGUAUACUGUAGAAAAUUAUUAGAAUAAGUUCAAUAUUACAUUGUGUUAUAACUUUACUUGUCCAGCAGAUUUUAGAUACCCGGAAGCACAUAUGAAGAUAUAUGCAGACGAAUAGGCAUCAUGUGCAGACGACAGCUUGGACUGGGAAGCGUGCGCCAUUGUUUUAUUUCUGCUUUUAUUCCUUUUGUUUUGCAUUGCUUUUUUCCACUAGAAUAUUGGGGUACGUGAAGAAUGAAGAGGCAGACGGAUAUUGAAGAUGCAUACCAGACAAAAUUUGGGUUACUGUUUAUCACGAACAGGUGCGUAUGUGGCUUUUUAUAUUAUACUAUUUUGUAUGCAUCUCUUUGCAGAAUUUUCAAGUUGAAUACAAGCAGGUGUAAAGAUGUUGCAUUGUAGAUGACACAAUGGUCUAAUGAAUGGUGAAGAUAGCGCGGCUGAUGUUGACUGUACAGACACGUGUGAAGAUGUCAUGCUGUAGAUGUGACAAUGGUUUAGUGGACGACGCAACUUGGUUCUUUUUCUCGGACGCACUGAGAAAGCAAAGGUCAAGUUUCCACUUGGAGUAAUUCAAUAGUAUAGAAAUGUGGACACAGAUCCUGGUUUUGGUGGAAGAAAUACUCGGAGUAUCCGACGAGAAGCAAUUUCUUGGAUUAUACACGAAGAAAAUGUUAGUUGAUGGGACAAUUGUGGCAGUAGAACUACCUUGCUGGUACCCUAACGAAGCCGGUCACCAGAUGUGCAUUGAAACCCUAUCGAACCCUUGCGUUAACAUGGUAAUCAGCCGUUAUCAACAA